rnacentral:rRNA from 1 species
GACGUAGGGAGCGAGCGUUGUCCGGAUUCAUUGGGCGUAAAGCGCGCGUAGGCGGCUUCGCAAGUCGGAUGUGAAAUUCCAGGGCUCAACCCCGGAACUGCAUCCGAAACUGCGUCGCUUGAGGUAGGUAGGGGAGAUCGGAAUUCCUGGUGUAGCGGUGGAAUGCGCAGAUAUCAGGAGGAACACCGGUGGCGAAGGCGGAUCUCUGGGCCUUACCUGACGCUGAGGUGCGAAAGCUAGGGGAGCGAACAGG